GUGUCUACUUCCGCAUCUCGUUGCCGGCGAUUCCGAGGACUACCGCCCUGUGGGCACACAUACGCAGAGGAGCAGAUGGACCGGGUUGUCGACCUUGCACCUCCAGCUAAAGGAGAAUCCGGUCGAAUGGCGAAGCUGUCAAGGCGAGGGAUUCUCGAUAAGGAAAGAAUGCUCUCUAUGCUUUUGAUUGUUGCUCAGAAAGCCUCGAUAUCGAUACUGGCUUUCGGGCAAUAAUCAUAAUCACGGGAGAGUAUAAAAACGACGUACAUACAUCGUUAUGCCGCCAUCAUCAUCAUCAUCAUCAUCAUCAUCAUCAUCAUCAUCCUUAUUAUCAUCAAUUGUUUUCAACAACGAUUGAUCGGCAGCCAGAGUAAUUCUGAUUUUAUAACACCACAAAUACUUUCCUCCACGUUCAUCAGGAAUUCCAUGAAUAAACUCGUUUACACAACUCUGUAUCUUCGAUGUACCUCGCAUUGUUGAAAAUAAUCGCCACUGUCCCGGGUCUAAUAUUAGAACGUUCGUCCCUUAUAUAUUCGACUCGACUGCCAAAAGUGUCAAUCAAUUUGUACUGUAACCUACCCUCUCGUCCUGUAUACCAGUCCCGAAAUAGCCACCUUUACGUAAGCUGAAUUCCCGAUCACCCAUGUAUAUACUUUCCCACAACUUCGCCCUACGAGCAAAAGCUGAAAUGUAAAAAAAAGUUGCUGCUUGUACAAGAUUCAUGUUUCCACAAACAAUGACAACAUUUCCGCGCUUGCGCGCGCAUUUAAAUAAGAGACUCGGGCAACCCUUGAGCAGCGCGCAGCAAUCAUCUCUGGCUGUAAUUCCCGCGCGGCCCGGCGACGUUAACGCCGCUGCUGCGUAUAAUAAAAUACACAGCAUCUCGACUCAGCAACUCGUCGCUUUCUUCCCAUAGUGCUAAGUAUCUGUAGAGACCCGUCUAUGGACCGUAUAGCGACGGAGGAUGGAAAAUGCACGAGUCGAGGGAAGCUGAGAGUCGUUAAAUCUCGAGAGAAAGAGAGAGCCGAGAGGAGAUAUCGGUUCCUGGGAUUUCUGCAGGAUCGUUGCUGCGAAUGUAAUUGUCGGUGACGGAUUCUGGGUAUGCGAGCUAGAGAAGAAGCUGCGCUGGAUUAUUGUAAUUGGGUUGCACGCGUCAGUGGCUUCGUGAGAAGAUUCGAAAAACUAUAUGCUGCACAGACUGUUCAUUGGAUAAUAAAAAACAAUUUUUAGUAGA